AUUGAACGCUGGCGGCAUGCUUUACACAUGCAAGUCGAACGGCAGCACAGGGAGCUUGCUCCUGGGUGGCGAGUGGCGAACGGGUGAGUAAUGUAUCGGAACGUGCCUGGUAGUGGGGGUUAACUACUCGAAAGAGUGGCUAAUACCGCAUGCGAUCUUUGGAUGAAAGCGUGGGACCUUCGUGCCUCGUGCUACUGAGCGGCCGAUGUCUGAUUAGGUUGUUGGUGGGGUAAAGGCCUACCAAGCCUGCGAUCUGUAGCUGGUGUUGGGGGACGACCGACGACACUGGGAGUGAGACACGGCCCCGACUCCUACGGGAGGCAGCAGUGGGGAAUUGUGGACAAUGGGGGCAAGCCUGAUCCAGCAAUGCCGCGCGCAGGACGAAGACCUUCGGGUUGUAAACUGCUUUUGUAGAGAACGAAAAGUCUCUGGCUAAGAUCUAGAGAUAAUGACGGUACUGGAAGAAUAAGCACCGGCUAACUACGUG
rnacentral:rRNA from 1 species